UACGUAGGGCGCAAGCGUUAUCCGGAAUUAUUGGGCGUAAAGAGCUCGUAGGCGGUUUGUCGCGUCUGCCGUGAAAGUCCGGGGCUCAACUCCGGAUCUGCGGUGGGUACGGGCAGACUAGAGUGAUGUAGGGGAGACUGGAAUUCCUGGUGUAGCGGUGAAAUGCGUAGAUAUCGGGAGGAACACCAGUGGCGAAGGCGGCAUCCUGGCCAUGUACUGACGCUCAGGGGCGAAAGCGUGGGGAGCAAACCGG
rnacentral:rRNA from 1 species